rnacentral:rRNA from 1 species
AGGGUAAAACCGAUAACUGGGGCUAAGUCGUAACAAGGUAGCCGUACCGGAAGGUGCGGCUGGAAUACCUCCUUUCUGGAG